rnacentral:rRNA from 1 species
AUACGGAGGAUCCGAGCGUUAUCCGGAUUUAUUGGGUUUGAAGGGAGCGUAGGUGGAUUGUUAAGUCAGUUGUGGAAGUUUGCGGCUCAACCGUAAAAUUGCAGUUGAAACUGGCAGUCUUGAGUACAGUAGAGGUGGGCGGAAUUCGUGGUGUAGCGGUGAAAUGCUUAGAUAUCACGAAGAACUCCGAUUGCGAAGGCAGCUCACUAGACUGUUACUGACACUGAUGCUCGAAAGUGUGGGUAUCAAACAGGAUUAGAUACCCUGGUAGUCCACACAGUAAACGAUGAAUACUCGCUGUUUGCGAUAUACAGUAAGCGGCCAAGCGAAAGCGAUAAGUAUUCCACCUGGGGAGUACGCCGGCAACGGUGAAACUCAAAUGAAUUGACGAGG